CAACCCACUGAGCCACCCAGGCGCCCCUUUCUCUCCUUCUCUUAAAGAGAUAAUGUGAAUGUCAGAACAGUAACUGCAGACAGACAGUGUCUACCACAUUUAAAACACUGCCUGUGAUGCAGGCAUCAGGAGCUGUCCCCUGAGGGGAGCGCACGAGGAGUUAAUCAGAGAUGGGAAACAGAGGGAAUGAAUGGGAUCCGAGGAGAAUGUUCAACUUACCCCCAAGUAGAGUCUGGAAAAGGGAAGGAGCAGACCAUCAGAGGACAUGGUGUGGAAGAACGGAGUUAUGUGUAUUGGGAGAUGACUGUGGAAUACAAAAUAGGAAGGUCAGGAGUCAGCAGGGGAUGAUAGACAACAAGGAGCUGAGAAGGGAUUGGGGCUUAUCUAUAAAUAUAUGCACACAGGUGCAGUAUUAUGCUGGAAAAUGGCUAACCACUGGCCUUCCUGGGGUGGGGGUGGGGGGAGCCUUGAUUUGUAAUAUUUGCAUAUCAUGUGGUAUAAAUACUCCUACAGUGACUAGUUUCAAGCUAUCGACGUGAAGGCUUUGAAGGCAGAGCCGGGAAGAGGUGUGCACGGCCGGGCCCUGCAAGGUGGAAGGAGAACGAGUUUCCAAGCCAGAGGCUCCCAGCUCCGGGUGAUCCCCAGCAGUGGGAACGCAGGUGGACUUGCCCAGAGUGCAAAAUACGGACCUGUGGCUGCGGGCGCCACACUGGCCAGAAAGAACCGGUUCUGCCUAUGGUGCGUGCAUGCUUAAGAUGAGGCCAUCAGGGGCGUGCUUAUCUGGAAAGAGCCAGUCAGGCCGGAGGGAGGGAUUGAAUCUAACAAGAGGAUGUGUGAUAAAGAUCAUCGUGAAGCUGAACUCCAGACUGGAGGAAUUGAGCACCACAUUUUUGAGAACAACGGAGAUGAGCUUUGGUGGUUGGGCACUUCAUCUGCCAGAGCAGCCGUUCCAUCUGGAUGGCUCCAACUGCUGGA